AUUGAACGCUGGCGGCAUGCUUUACACAUGCAAGUCGAACGGUAACAGGGUGCUUGCACCGCUGACGAGUGGCGAACGGGUGAGUAAUGCAUCGGAAUGUACCGUGUAAUGGGGGAUAGCUCGGCGAAAGCCGGAUUAAUACCGCAUACGCCCUGAGGGGAAAGUGGGGGACCGAAAGGCCUCACGUUAUACGAGCAGCCGAUGUCUGAUUAGCUAGUUGGUGAGGUAAAGGCUCACCAAGGCGUCGAUCAGUAGCGGGUCUGAGAGGAUGAUCCGCCACACUGGGACUGAGACACGGCCCAGACUCCUACGGGAGGCAGCAGUGGGGAAUUUUGGACAAUGGGCGCAAGCCUGAUCCAGCCAUGCCGCGUGUCUGAAGAAGGCCUUCGGGUUGUAAAGGACUUUUGUCCGGGAGCAAAUCCUAGUGGUUAAUAACCGCUGGGUCUGAGAGUACCGGAAGAAUAAGCACCGGCUAACUACGUG
rnacentral:rRNA from 1 species